rnacentral:rRNA from 1 species
UACGUAGGGUGCGAGCGUUGUCCGGAAUUAUUGGGCGUAAAGAGCUCGUAGGCGGUUUGUCGCGUCUGCCGUGAAAGUCCGGGGCUCAACUCCGGAUCUGCGGUGGAUACGGGCUGGCUAGAGGUAGGUAGGGGCAAGGCGGAAUUCCUGGUGUAGCGGUGAAAUGCGCAGAUAUCAGGAGGAACACCGGUGGCGAAGGCGGCUUGCUGGCCUUACCUGACGCUGAGGAGCGAAAGCGUGGGGAGCGAACAGG